UUUUUACAAAAACAUGCAUACAUACACAGGGUAUGGUGGGUCCUAGGAAAGACACACACACACGCCUCACUCACACACACGCUCACACACACGCCUCACUCACACACAUGCUCACACACAUUUUCCUUCUUGACCCCAGGCCUGGACCCCCAAAAGCCUUGAAGACUUUGCCAGAGCAGCCUCCCCUCCUCCAUGUCUGUAUCUUCUCUCCCACCCCUUCCCCCUCAGUCAGGCUACUCCUAUGUGGGGUGGGAAUCAGAGCUAUGGUGGGGGAGGCCCCAGAAACAGAGAAGGCUCCCCGAGUGGGCAGUGGCCGAGGGGUCCCAGGGGUAUGCUGCGCUUCUUGGGGAGAUGAAGGGUUUGGCACCAUUGGAUCAGGAAGCACAGGACUCCCAGAGCACCCAUCUGCUCCACCAGGGCAUCGCCAGGAGGUUGAUGUAGGGGGGCCUCUGGCGAGGGUACGGACCAGAUGGAGGGCUGCCAGUCUCGGCUGUCAGGGAGCUUCGUCUCAGUGCCCAGUGGUAGAGGGAAGCUUCCAGAGUCGUCUGAGGAAGCAGCCCCUGGCACUCUAGGCACCCAGGAGUCUGGAC
rnacentral:lncRNA from 1 species